rnacentral:rRNA from 1 species
GACGAACGCUGGCGGCGUGCCUAACACAUGCAAGUCGAACGGAGUAGAACGCUGAAUUGAUGGUAGCUUGCUACUGGAUUUUCUUGUUCUACUUAGUGGCGGACGGGUGAGUAACGCGUGAGCAACCUGCCUUACAGAGGGGGACAACAGUUGGAAACGACUGCUAAUACCGCAUAACGUGCCGAGGGGGCAUCCCCAUGGUACCAAAGGAGCAAUCCGCUGUAAGAUGGGCUCGCGUCCGAUUAGAUAGUUGGUGGGGUAACGGCCUACCAAGUCUGCGAUCGGUAGCCGGACCGAGAGGUUGAUCGGCCACAUUGGGACUGAGACACGGCCCAGACUCCUACGGGAGGCAGCAGUGGGGGAUAUUGCACAAUGGAGGAAACUCUGAUGCAGCAACGCCGCGUGAGGGAAGAAGGUUUUCGGAUUGUAAACCUCUGUUUUUAGUGAAGAAACAAAUGACGGUAGCUAAAGAGGAAGCCACGGCUAACUACGUGCCAGCAGCCGCCGUAAUAC